CCCUUAGAUGUUCUGGGCUGCACACGUGCUACACUGGCAGGUUCAGCGAGCUUCAUGCCCUGAUCUGAAAGGAAUGGGAAAUCUUUUCAAAACCUGCCGUGCUUGGGAUAGAUGUUUGCAAUUAUUCAUCUUCAACGAGGAUUGCCUUGUAAGCGCACGUCAUCAGCGUGCAUUGAAUACGACCCAGUAUUCUGUACACACCGCCCGUCGCUCCUACCGAUUGAAGUUUUCGGUGAGUUGACAGGAGGAUUUUUUUGAAACUGGUUCGCCAGUGGAUUUUAGAUCCAAAUGCCAACGAAUCGAUGGCUUUAGAGGAAGGAGAAGUCGUAACA
rnacentral:rRNA from 1 species